CCUACGGGAGGCUGCAGUGGGGAAUAUUGCACAAUGGGCGCAAGCCUGAUGCAGCCAUGCCGCGUGUGUGAGGAAGGCCUUCGGGUUGUAAAGCACUUUCAGCGGGGAGGAAGGCGGUGAGGUUAAUAACCUCAUCGAUUGACGUUACCCGCAGAAGAAGCACCGGCUAACUCCGUGCCAGCAGCCGCGGUAAUACGGAGGGUGCAAGCGUUAAUCGGAAUUACUGGGCGUAAAGCGCACGCAGGCGGUCUGUCAAGUCGGAUGUGAAAUCCCCGGGCUCAACCUGGGAACUGCAUUCGAAACUGGCAGGCUAGAGGCUUGUAGAGGGGGGUAGAAUUCCAGGUGUAGCGGUGAAAUGCGUAGAGAUCUGGAGGAAUACCGGUGGCGAAGGCGGCCCCCUGGACAAAGACUGACGCUCAGGUGCGAAAGCGUGGGGAGCAAACAGGAUUAGAUACCCGUGUAGUC
rnacentral:rRNA from 1 species